UUCCUGCGUUCGAAAAACUCGGAAUUGGGUGGCGAAGGCGGGCAGCAUUUCGUCCAGUCCCAGGCGGAGGAGGACUGGGAAGGGGUGGUGGCGUACGUCGAGUUCCGUGGAGGGAACCCAGGGUGGCCGGCGUCGGACGCGGCGGAGGUAGAGGGCUUGCGGAAGGAGGUGGAGGAGGACACGACGGAUGGAGAAGGGGAAGGGGAGAAGUCGUGGUGGCGGCGGGGGCGGCGUCGGGGACGCGGUGCCGGGGGAGAUGGAGCGGGAGGGGGCUGGGGCUUGGACGGGGGGAAGGAGGAGGCGGCGGAGGCAGAGAAAGAGGAGCGGAGGAGGAUGGGAGGGGUUUGCUCGGAGACGGCGAGGGGCUCGCCGAGGGCGAAGCGGGUGAGGGCGGAGCCGGUGAGGCGGAGGGAGCAGAGGUAAUCGGAGUGGGCGGAGGCGAGGUGGUGGCGGGAGUG
rnacentral:lncRNA from 1 species